rnacentral:rRNA from 1 species
AAGACCUUGCACUUUUGGAGCGGCCGAUGUCUGAUUAGCUAGUUGGUGGGGUAAUGGCCUACCAAAGCGUCGAUCAGUAGCUGGUCUGAGAGGACGGCCAGCCACACUGGGACUGAGACACGGCCCAGACUCCUACGGGAGGCAGCAGUGGGGAAUUUUGGACAAUGGGCGCAAGCCUGAUCCAGCCAUGCCGCGUGAGUGAAGAAGGCCUUCGGGUUGUAAAGCUCUUUCAGCCGGGAAGAAAAGGUUGCGAUUAAUAAUCGCAAUUUAUGGCGGUACCGGAAGAAGAAGCACCGGCUAACUACGUGCCAGCAGCCGCGGUAAUACGUAGGGUGCGAGCGUUAAUCGGAAUUACUGGGCGUAAAGGGUGCGCAGGCGGUUUUGUAAGUCAGAUGUGAAAUCCCCGGGCUUAACCUGGGAACU